rnacentral:tRNA from 1 species
UUAUUUUGGCAGAUUAGUGCAUUAAAUUUAGAAUUUAAGAAUGUAUAAUUUAUACARAUA